rnacentral:rRNA from 1 species
CCUACGGGAGGCAGCAGUAGGGAAUAUUGCGCAAUGGACGCAAGUCUGACGCAGCAACGCCGCGUGGGUGAUGAAGCUUUUCGGAGUGUAAAACCCUGUCAGUGGGGAAGAACAGUACGGGGAGUAACUGCCCUGUGCCUGACGGUACCCACAGAGGAAGUCCCGGCUAACUCCGUGCCAGCAGCCGCGGUAAUACGGGGGGGACAAGCGUUGUUCGGAUUUACUGGGCGUAAAGGGCGUGUAGGCGGGUCUUCAAGUCGGAUGUGAAAACUGGCGGCUCAACUGCCAGCCUGCAUCCGAGACUGUAGACCUUGAGUACGGGAGAGGAGAGCGGAAUUCCAGGUGUAGCGGUGAAAUGCGUAGAUAUCUGGAAGAACACCGGUAGCGAAGGCGGCUCUCUGGAACGAUACUGACGCUAAAGCGCGAAGGCUUGGGUAGCAAACAGGAUUAGAUACCCUGGUAGUCCAAGCGGUAAACGAUGGGUACUAGGUGUCGGGGGU